rnacentral:RNase_P_RNA from 1 species
UAAGUAAAUCGCCUUAUCGAACCAAACUUGUUUUGGUUAGGAAAGUCCGAACACCAUAGUGUAAGCAUAGUGGUUAACAGCCACCAGUCGUGAGGCUAGGAAAAGUGCAACAGAAAGAAUGUACAGGUCAUGCUGUAGUGAAAUCAGGUAAACUCUAUGUGGUGCAAUGUCAUGUAAACUAGUGCUUGAGCGUACACGCGCGAUGCUAGAGGGUAGGCAGCUAAAGUGUUUUGGUAACAAUACACUCAGAUAAAUGAUAAGGGCUUUUCUUUUUAAGAAUUUAUUUUCAUAAAAAGAAAAUGUACAGAAUUCGGCUUAUAGAUUUACUUAAACA